rnacentral:rRNA from 1 species
GACGAACGCUGGCGGCGUGCCUAAUACAUGCAAGUCGAACGCUGAAGGAGGAGCUUGCUCUUCUGGAUGAGUUGCGAACGGGUGAGUAACGCGUAGGUAACCUGCCUGGUAGCGGGGGAUAACUAUUGGAAACGAUAGCUAAUACCGCAUAACAGUAGAUGUUGCAUGACAUUUGCUUAAAAGGUGCAAUUGCAUCACUACCAGAUGGACCUGCGUUGUAUUAGCUAGUUGGUGGGGUAACGGCUCACCAAGGCGACGAUACAUAGCCGACCUGAGAGGGUGAUCGGCCACACUGGGACUGAGACACGGCCCAGACUCCUACGGGAGGCAGCAGUAGGGAAUCUUCGGCAAUGGACGGAAGUCUGACCGAGCAACGCCGCGUGAGUGAAGAAGGUUUUCGGAUCGUAAAGCUCUGUUGUAAGAGAAGAACGAGUGUGAGAGUGGAAAGUUCACACUGUGACGGUAUCUUGCCAGAAAGGGACGGCUAACUACGUG